rfam:Oryza barthii chromosome 11, whole genome shotgun sequence.
UUUAAGCACAGCCAUAAGUUUCCGCGUCCAACUUUAAUCGUCCGUCUUAUUUAAAAUUUUUUAUAAUUAGAAUUUUUUUUAAAUAAGACGGACGAUCAAAGUUGGAUACGGAAACUCAUUGCUACGUUUAAA